rnacentral:rRNA from 1 species
AACGAACGCUGGCGGCAUGCCUAACACAUGCAAGUCGAACGAGACCUUCGGGUCUAGUGGCGCACGUGUGCGUAACGCGUGGGAACCUGCCCUUAGGUUCGGAAUAACUCCCCGAAAGGGGUGCUAAUACCGGAUAAUGUCUUCGGACCAAAGAUUUAUCGCCUUUGGAUGGGCCCGCGUUGGAUUAGCUAGUUGGUAGGGUAAAAGCCUACCAAGGCGACGAUCCAUAGCUGGUCUGAGAGGAUGAUCAGCCACACUGGGACUGAGACACGGCCCAGACUCCUACGGGAGGCAGCAGUGGGGAAUAUUGGACGAUGGGCGAAAGCCUGAUACAGCAAUGCCGCGUGAGUGAUGAAGGCCUUAGGGUUGUAAAGCUCUUUUAGCCGGGAUGAUAAUGACAGUACCGGGAGAAUAAGCUCCGGCUAACUCCGUG